AUUGAACGCUGGCGGCAGGCCUAACACAUGCAAGUCGAGCGGAUGAAGGGAGCUUGCUCCUGGAUUGAGCGGCGGACGGGUGGGUAAUGCCUAGGAAUCUGCCUUGUAGUGGGGGAGAACGUCCGGAAACGGGCGCUAAUACAGCAUACGUCCUGAGGGAGAAAGUGGGGGAUCUUCGGACCUCACGCUAUCAGAUGAGCCUAGGUCGGAUUAGCUAGUUGGUGGGGUAAAGGCCUACCAAGGCGACGAUCCGUAACUGGUCUGAGAGGAUGAUCAGUCACACUGGAACUGAGACACGGUCCAGACUCCUCCGGGAGGAAGCAGUGGGGAAUAUUGGACAAUGGGCGAAAGCCUGCUCCAGCCCUGCCGCGUGUGUGAAGAAGGUCUUCGGAUUGUAAAGCACUUUAAGUUGGGAGGAAGGGCAGUAAGUUAAUACCUUGCUGUUUUGACGUUACCAACAGAAUAAGCACCGGCUAACUUCGUG
rnacentral:rRNA from 1 species